UACAGAGGUCUCAAGCGUUGUUCGGAUUCAUUGGGCGUAAAGGGUGUGUAGGUGGCGCGUAAGUCGGGUGUGAAAUUCGUGACUUAACUCCGAAACUGCAUUCGAUACUGCCGGUGCUUGAGGACUGGAGAGGAGACUGGAAUUCAUGGUGUAGCAGUGAAAUGCGUAGAGAUCAUGGAGAAGACCAGUGGCGAAGGCGGGUCUCUGGACAGUUCCUGACACUGAGACACGAAGGCCAGGGGAGCAAACGGG
rnacentral:rRNA from 1 species